GAUGAACGCUAGCGGCAGGCUUAACACAUGCAAGUCGUGGGGCAGCGCGGACUUCGGUCUGGCGGCGACCGGCAAACGGUGCGGAACACGUACGCAACCUCCCUCAGAGCGGGGAAUAGCCUCUCGAAAGAGAGAUUAAAUACCCCAUAGUAUCUUGAAGACACAUGUCUAUGAGAUUAAAGCUUCGGCACUUUGAGAUGGGCUGCGGCUGAUUAGGUAGUUGGUAGGUAACGGCCUACCAAGCCGACGAUCAGUAGCUGAUGUGAGAGCAUGAUCAGCCACACGGGCACUGAGACACGGGCCCGAUCCUACGGGAGCAGCAGUGAGGAAUAUUGGUCAAAUGGAGGAAACUCUGAACCAGCCAUGCCGCGUGGAGGAUGAAGGUCCUCUGGAUUGUAAACUCCUUUUAUAAAAG
rnacentral:rRNA from 1 species